rnacentral:rRNA from 1 species
AGUUUGAUUAUGGCUCAGAUUGAACGCUGGCGGGAUGCUUUACAUGCAAAGUCGAACGGCAGCACGGACUUCGGUCUGGUGGCGAAGUGGCGAACGGGUGAGUAAUGUAUCCGGAACGUGCCUAGUAGCGGGGGAUAACUACGCGAAAGCGUAGCUAAUACCACAUACGCCCUUCGGGGAAAGCAGGGGGACCUUCGGGCCUCGCACUAUUAGAGCGGCCGAUAUCGGAUUAGCUAGUUGGUAGAGUAACGGCUCACCAAGGCGACGAUCCGUAGCUGGUUUGAAGAGGACGACCAGCCACACUGGGACUGAGACACGGCCCAGACUCCUACGGGAGGCAGCAGUGGGGAAUUUUGGACAAUGGGGAAACCCUGAUCCAGCCAUCCCGCGUGUGCGAUGAAGGCCUUCGGGUUGUAAAGCACUUUUGGCAGGAAAGAAACGGCACGGGAUAAUACCCCGUGCAACUGACAAUACCAGCAGAAUAAGCACCGGCUAACUACGUGCCAGCAGCCGCGGUAAUACGUAGGGUGCAAGCGUUAAUCGGAAUUACUGGGCGUAAAGCGUGCGCAGGCGGUUCCGGAAAGAAAGAUGUGAAAUCCCAGGCUUAACUUUGGAACUGCAUUUUUAACUACCGAGCUAGAGUGUGUCAGAGGAGGUGGAAUUCCGCGUGUAGCAGUGAAAUGCGUAGAUAUGCGGAGGAACACCGAUGGCGAAGGCAGCCUCCUGGGAUAACACUGACGCUCAUGCACGAAAGCGUGGGGAGCAAACGGGAUUAGAUACCCUGGUAGUCCACGCCUAAACGAUGUCAACUAGCUGUUGGGGCCUUCGGGCCUUGGUAGCGCAACUAACGCGUAGAAGUUGACCGCCUGGGGAGUACGGUCGCAAGAUUAAAACUCAAAGGAAUUGACGGGGACCCGCACAAGCGGUGGAUGAUGUGGAUUAAUUCGUGCAACGCGAAAAACCUUACCUACCCUUGACAUGUCUGGAAUCGAAGAGAUUUGGGAGUGCUCGCAAGAGAACGGAACACAGGUGCUGCAUGGCUGUCGUCAGCUCGUGUCGUGAGAUGUUGGGUUAAGUCCCGCAACGAGCGCAACCCUUGUCAUUGGUGCUACGAAAGGGCACUCUAAUGAGACUGCCGGUGACAAACCGGAGGAAGGUGGGGAUGACGUCAAGUCCUCAUGGCCCUUAUGGGUAGGGCUUCACACGUCAUACAAUGGUCGGGACAGAGGGUCGCCAACCCGCGAGGGGGAGCCAAUCCCAGAAACCCGAUCGUAGUCCGGAUCGCAGUCUGCAACUCGACGUGAAGUCGGAAUCGCUAGUAAUCGCGGAUCAGCAUGUCGCGGUGAAUACGUUCCCGGGUCUUGUACACACCGCCCGUCACACCAUGGGGUGGGUUUUACCGAAGUAGUUAGCCUAACCAUGCGGAGGGCGAUUACCACGGUAGGAUUCAUGACUGGGGUGAAGUCGUAACAAGGUAA